UGUCACCCAGGCUGGAGUGCAGUAGUGUGAUUAUAGUUCAACGCAGCCUUGAACUCUUGGAUUCAAGCAAUCCUCCCACCUCACCCUCCCAAGUAGCUGGAACUACAGGUGUAUGCCACCACACCCAGAGAGGACAGCCGUCUACAAACCAGGAAGUGGGUUCUUUUCAUCAGAUCUUGAGUGUGCUGGCAUCUCAAUCUUGGACUUCCCAGUCUCCAGAACUGUGAGGAAAAAUUAUUUGUUAUUUAAGCCACUCUGUCUGUGACUUGUUAUAGCAGCCUGUACUGACC
rnacentral:lncRNA from 10 species